rnacentral:misc_RNA from 1 species
AAGCAGGUUUUACUCGUGGGAAUUUGUGGUUCAUCAUGGUGCGCCGUAUCUGAUGCAUUCCGAGCCACUUGAUCCUCGGUCAAUUGUCGUUAAGCCUCGAGCGCAUAUCCAUAGAAGGGUUUAUCGCUGGAGAAUUGUGAUGGCGGUGGUGUUUGCGGUGGUUUGUGGGUUUAUGUUGGUGUUGGCGGUGUUGUUUGUGUUGUCGAUGUGGUUUGAAAGACCACAAAUUGCUCCUGUGGAGUAUACUGAGCAUGAUGUAGAGUAUAGUGGUGAGAAGUUUGUACUGGUGGGGCAGAAGGGGGCAGGUACGACAACAAAGUAAAGGCUUUGGAGGUCAGGAUGUUCUCUUU